AUGGUGGUGUCUGGUGGCGGUGGCGGUGGCGGGGGGCGGGGGGCGGGGGGCGGACUAGAUGAGCCGCUCGUCGCGCCCCCGGCGCCGGGCGCCGUGGCCCGAGCCGAAGGCGCCGCCGGCCCCCGAGCGCCCGCGGCCUCUGCGCCUGGCGCGGCCGCCCAAGUAGGAGAAGAAGGCGCAGCCCAGGAACACUCGGAAGCAGCAGGUCGCCCCGAACACGAAGCCGCAGCCGCGGCCCUGCUCCGUGCGCUUCUGCAGCAGGAAGUUGAGCACCCACGAGGGGCUGCGCACCGAGAAGACCAGGAAGACCACGAGCGGCAGGUGGGCGCUCAGCGCGCCGGCCUUCAGCGGCCCGGGCCGCCACACGACGCCCCCCACGCGCGGCGCCGAGUAGUAGGCGUCGUCCUCGUCGCCCGAGUCCGUGUCCCACGCGGCCCAGGCCCUACUCGCGCCCCCGCCGCCGGCGCCCUCGCCGCCCCCGCCGGCGCCCUCCGCGGCGCCCUCGUCGGCGGUGGCGGCGGCGGCGGCAGCGGCGGCGGCCUCCGGGCCUCGGGCCUCCUCCGGGGCUUCGGGCGCCGCCGCCUUCUUCUUCUUCUUCUUCUGCAUCUUCUCCAACUUCUUCCUCUCCUUCUCCUUCUUCUUCUCCUCUCUCCUCCUCUGCUCCUGCAGCUUCUUCUCCACCUUCCUGCGCUCCUUGUCGGUCAGGAACUUCUCGGGGGGCGCGCCCCGCGCCGUCGUCGGGGUCCCCUCGGCGUCCCCGCUCCUGCGCGGGGCGAGCGGCUCUCUCGGCCCGGCCAGCGCCGCAGCCGCCGCCGCAGCUUCGGCAGCCACCUCGGCCGCAGCCGCCGCCGUCUUCUUCUCGCUCUCCGCCGCCGCUCGGGCUUUGAUCUUCAUGGCCAUCUUCAGCAUGGUGGCUCGGCCCCUUCGGGGUGCCCGGCUCUCGCCUGGCCCGGGCGCCCUGCUUGCCCCCGGCCUCGGCCUGGCCGGACCCCGUGCGCCCCGUGUCGGGGAGGGGGCGGGGGUGGGGGGGUCGGCCGCGAUCCCCGCCGCGCUGCCCGGAGCGGGGGACCCCGGAGCGGGGGACCCCGGAGCGCGCGCCGCGCCGCUGGCUCGCCCGCCCGCCCGCCUGCCUGCCCGCCCGGCCGGCCGGCCGGGGCGUCGGGCUGCUGGGCUGGCUUGCCUAAGAGUUAG
rnacentral:lncRNA from 12 species